rnacentral:rRNA from 1 species
GGACCAGACUCCUACGGGAGGCAGCAGUGAGGAAUAUUGGUCAAUGGCCGAAGGGCUGAACCAGCCAAGCCGCGUGAAGGAAUAAGGCCCUACGGGUCGUAAACUUCUUUAGUCAGGGAACAAAGGGUGCCACGUGUGGCGCUGUGAGUGUACCUGAAGAAUAAGCAUCGGCUAACUCCGUGCCAGCAGCCGCGGUAAUACGGAGGAUGCGAGCGUUAUCCGGAUUUAUUGGGUUUAAAGGGUGCGCAGGCGGAUUUUUAAGUCAGCGGUCAAAUCGUGGGGCUCAACCCCAUCCAGCCGUUGAAACUGGGGAUCUAGAGUGUGCGAGAGGUAUGCGGAAUGCGUGGUGUAGCGGUGAAAUGCAUAGAUAUCACGCAGAACCCCGAUUGCGAAGGCAGCAUACCGGUGCACAACUGACGCUCAGGCACGAAAGCGUGGGUAUCGAACAGGAUUAGAUACCCUGGUA